UACGUAGGGCGCAAGCGUUAUCCGGAAUUAUUGGGCGUAAAGAGCUCGUAGGCGGUUUGUCGCGUCUGCCCGGUGAAAAGUCCGGGGCCUCAACUCCGGAUCUGCGGGUGGGUACGGGCAGACUAGAGUGAUGUAGGGGAGACUGGAAUUCCUGGUGUAGCGGUGAAAUGCGCAGAUAUCAGAGGAACACCGAUGGCGAAG
rnacentral:rRNA from 1 species